AUUGAACGCUGGCGGCAGGCUUAACACAUGCAAGUCGAACGAGCGGCGGACGGGUGAGUAAUGUAUGGGGAUCUGCCUGAUGGAGGGGGAUAACUACUGGAAACGGUAGCUAAUACCGCAUACCAUCAGAUGAACCCAUAUGGGCUUAGCUGGUAGGUAAGGUAACGGCUUACCUAGGCGACGAUCCCUAGCUGGUCUGAGAGGAUGAUCAGCCACACGAGGACUGAGACACGGCCCAGACGCCUACGGGAGGCAGCAGUGGGGAAUAUGGCACAAUGGGCGCAAGCCUGAUGCAGCCAUGCCGGUUGUAUGAAGAAGUCCUUCGGGUUGUAAAGUACUUUCAGUCGGUAGGCGUUACCGACAGAAGAAGCACCGGCUAACUCCGUGCCAGCCGCCGCGGUAAUAC
rnacentral:rRNA from 1 species